AAGAAGCUGGUUGCAAGAGAACAGGCUUUUAUAAUUUGCUCUCUGGCAAGUACAAAAGCAGACAAAACCAAUCUGCUGUGUGGAAGUUGGGUCAGUGGGGACCUUCGUGGCACAUGUUAAUCCAGGGGAGGGAAUAGUGACUGGAGCCCGGUAGGAUUGAUGGUCCGGGGUGGCACGGCUGGAGGCCUCGGAGGCUUGGGAGUUCUUGUCUGGAUUGCCCUUCUGUAACGUGCACUGGGUCUCAGGCCUGACCCUGGCAGCAGGUGGACACUAGGCCUCUAGCAAUGGACUGGCUGGAGGGAGGGUGGAUGUCUGGGAUGUGCCGGGUCUCACCAGCUUCUCUGGCCCUGCAGGAUCGACCCCUUGUGGCCACCUGCGCGGGAGACCCCAGCCGCUACUACAACAGGGCUGCAGGGCAGUGCUGCUACCGCUGCUCGACAGGGUCAUUGCCAACACAGCCGUGUCCUCAGGGGCCUUCCGACUGCAGGAAGAAGCAGUGUGAGCCUGACCACUACCUAGAUGAGGACGGCUACUGCACGGCCUGUGUCACCUGUUCCAGAGACGACCUCGUGGAGAAGGCACCCUGCUACUCGAACUCUUCCCGCGUGUGCCAGUGCCGGCCGGGCAUGUUCUGUGCCACCUCUGCCACCAACUCCUGUGCCCGCUGCUUCCCGCACUCUGCCUGCUCCGAGGGGAUGGUGAUCACGGCCCCAGGCACAGCUGAGACGGACACGGUCUGUGGCUGGCCUUCCCCGGGAACCAGCCUCGCCUGCGCCAGCCCCGAGGCCUGCAGGACACCCGCCAGCCGUACCACCCACAAUGUCAAGCCAACUGUGACGCCCCAGGCCAGUGCGGAUGCCAGGACCCGAGCCCUAGGCAGGAACACCCCGCUCCGGCUGGAAGAUGCUUCCCGACCGCGACUCAUGGGGCUUCCCGAGUCCUCCUUCUCCACGGUGGAGCCGGGCGCAGACCCAGGUGACUUCCGAGGAGCCGCGUGUCCGCCUAGUCUGCAGGGUCCCGGGGGUGGGCCGGGGCUCUGGGAUUGGUUGCUUUUUAGUAGGACAUCGACCACUUCCGGGUUGCGCCUCUGUCCCUGGCUGCGUCCCGGGCCUCCUCUUCCGCCCGGCUCGUUCCACGUUUCCCACGCUGUCCGUGUUCAGCAGGGCAAGCCCUUUUCUCCGGUGA
rnacentral:lncRNA from 1 species